UACGUAGGGUGCAAGCGUUAAUCGGAAUUACUGGGCGUAAAGCGUGCGCAGGCGGUUUUGUAAGUCUGUCGUGAAAGCCCCGGGCUCAACCUAGGAAUUGCGAUGGAGACUGCAAGGCUUGAAUCUGGCAGAGGGGGGUAGAAUUCCACGUGUAGCAGUGAAAUGCGUAGAGAUGUGGAGGAACACCGAUGGCGAAGGCAGCCCCCUGGGUCAAGAUUGACGCUCAUGCACGAAAGCGUGGGGAGCAAACAGG
rnacentral:rRNA from 1 species